rnacentral:tmRNA from 1 species
CUGCCACAAUGCAGGAGUCCGGUUUCGGCCGGACUAGGUGGCUCACACCGGUGUUUCGGACAGCGGUUCGAUUCCGCUCAGCUCCAUCACAUCCCCCGGCAUCCGCCGGGAUUGUUCCCGGGGCUGCAAUGGUUUCGACGGGGCAUGAGGAGAGUGACUGAAGCCUGCUCGGUCAGAGCAAAUCCGUAACAGCGAACAACAUCGUUCGUUUCUCCCGUCAAGCCGCCCCUGUGGCUGCCUGACACUCUUAAGGGAGAUGGGGUGAGAUCAGCCUUAUCACCCAAAUGAUCCAUGGGGGCUGGAAGGCCCC